GCAUUUUGGAGCCUUUUGGAGCAGUUUUGGACAUCAAAUGGAUUGCACAUGCUUGGAGCUAAGAAGAUGGACGAAAUUGAAGAUCAAAUGAGCGUAGGAUUGAAUGAAGAUGUGAAGAAUUGGAUUCAGGACAAAUAAAGAAUGAAGAGUUCAAAUUGGAAGCCAAAGUUUCUAAAGUUGGAAGUUUCUAUUCUUGGAGGUUUCCAUCUUUGGCUCUAAACUUUCCUAAUCCUAAUUCACCUAUGUUCCAGCUGCAAGGAGGCUUCCUAAAUAUUUUAGGACACUAAAUAAAUGCUUCUAGAAGACCUAGACCUAUCCCUAAUCUUUGCCGCACCCACCUUCCUAUUUUUCCUACUUUACCUUCCUUGUUUCCCUUUCUUGUUUUCCUAGUUCUUGCAAUUAAACACAUUCCUGUUUUGUCCAUCCCUUGCUGCACAAGGGAGAGAUUCUCCUUCCUAUUUUAUGUCCUAAAACAUAUUUCCUUUUCCCUAAAACCCUAUGCCGCACCUUACAUCCUUUCUUGCCUAUUUUCUGACCCAAAACACAUUCCUAAAUCUGCCCUACAAUUUCUGCCGAAUUUCCCUUUCCUUUUCUCUUUAAUUCCUGCACCUUUCUUGCCUAUUUUUUCACCCAAAAUCACAUUCCUUUUCCUACAUAAAUCCUUCCCUAAAACCACUUCAAAUUCGUAGCCCUUCCUUCCCCUAUAAAUAAAGGUCCUUGCUGACCAUUCUAAGCAUUCCACCCUUCACCAUAACCUACCUACAUCCAUCCACCACCAUAAAACAUUCACCAUUCACGCCAGAAACACCAUCCCACUCUAUGCCGCACCUUUCCUUCACCAUUCACCAUAUUUUCUGACCCAAAACCACCCUAGCCGUCCCAUACACCUAUCCCAGCCAUAAACCCAUCCUUCUACACCAUCCAUAACCCCCAAAACUCACCCAUUCGUGUGUCGUAGCAAGGAGAAAGAAGGAAGGACUCUUGGAUGCUCAAGCUUCAUCGUUGGUGCAUUCUAGGUGUAAUUCGUUUUAUGAUUUCAAUGUUUAAUUUCUUUUCCUUUCGUUUUGCUAUGAACAUGAGUGGCUAAACCCCUAUUGGUUAGGGGUAAUUUCGAAGCCAUGACUAUGUGUGCAAGUUGAUUUGAUAAAUUCCAGUUAUGAGUUCUUGAAUCGUGAAUGCAAUUGGCUUAACUGUGCGAGUAAUAACUUAUUUGUGUUUGUUAAUUAGGGGUCGACACUUAAUUGGUUUGCAUGAAUAUGAUGCUAGAAUAUAAGGUUGUUUCACAUAAUCGUCACACACUUAUAUUCAUAUGUGGUUAAGGUCGCUAGUCACGAUCGCGUUAAGUCCAAUUCCUAGCAUGAGUGACAUAAUGUCAUAGUUGCAAGUGCUUUGUCAAUGCUUAUAGUUUUCAUUGAACGUAAUGAUCUUUGAUUGUAUCUUUAUUAUGAUGUCAUGUAGGGAACUUUUGAGGAAUGCUUUGGGUUGUCGAAUGAUGUCAUCCAAUCCAAUAACACAAGGAAAACUUGAGAAUUAACUAGUGAUGUCACGGUUAAUUUGGGGCAUUGUCAUUCAUAAUUCAAUGAAGGAAUAACUGGAAAUCGAGUCGUUUGCAUACUUGUCAUGUGGAGAAAGAGCCUCUAACUAAUCCAUCAUCCAUUUAAAACCCCAAAAUCGUUUUCAAUUCUGUUUUUACUUUGCAAUCUGUUUUGUCAGUUUAUUUUCGUCCAAAUCAAACCCCCAUUUAUUUUGAAGCCCUAGAUUAGUUAGAAAGUGUUUUGGUUUAUGUUUUUAAGUGUUUUGGAACAAGUUAAAACCCAAAUUCGUCCAAUUUGGUGGUUUGUGCUCAAAACUGCCCAGAAAGUGUUUUUAAGGCAGUUUUGAGUCUUUUGGUUGCUGUUUUGAGUUUUUGGUUUGUUUUAGUGUUUUAAACUUUAGUUUUGCAUUCUUUAAGUCUAAUCUAGUGUUUUAAACUUUGUUUUUACGUUUCUAAGUCAGUUUUCAAGUGUUUAGCAAUCCCUCCUAAUCCCCGGUCUAGAACGAUCCCUACUUAUUCAUACUACAAUUGUCAACAAGAGGGUUUAAUUUGUGUGCUUAUAUAUUUCGCAUCACUACAACAAGGUGGUGAAAACGAAGGUCCUUGGCGUUUCAAGCUUGGAACUUUGGAGCGUUUUAGGUGUACUACAUUCUUGCUUUCAAUGUCUACUUUGUUAGUUUCUAAUUUUAUUGCAAUUAUGAGUGGGUAAACCCCUAUUUAGUUA
rnacentral:lncRNA from 1 species